rnacentral:lncRNA from 1 species
GGUGAGUGGACUAGAAAGGAUGGAAGAAUAGAACAUAUGGAUGAAGAUAUUUCAGCUAAGAAAGAAAGAUCUUAGAGUGAAACAAGACCUUCUUCCAGGAGUGAAGCAGGACCUUCUAGGUCUAUGGAAGGUAUGGAACCUAUUGAGCAAAUGAGGAUGACUCCAGAUAUGGUCAGUGCAAUCCAGAUAGUUCUUUGUUUGAGCAAAAAAUGGACAAUCUUAUUUUAGCAGUGCAGGAUAUAAGACAAGACAUUCAUAAUUUAAUCUGUCAUAUCGAAGAAUUAGAAAGAUGUUCAUCUCAUACAGAUAUUCAACAUCAGCUAGACGAGA